rnacentral:rRNA from 1 species
UACAAGGUGCUGCAUGGUUGUCGUCAGCUCGUGCCGUGAGGUGUCGGGUUAAGUCCCGCAACGAGCGCAACCCCUGCAUUCAGUUGCCAUCGGGUAAUGCCGGGCACUCUGGAAGGACUGCCAUCGACAAGAUGGAGGAAGGUGGGGAUGACGUCAAGUCAUCAUGGCCCUUACGGCCUGGGCUACACACGUGCUACAAUGGUCGGUACAAAGGGUUGCCAAGCCGCGAGGUGGAGCUAAUCCCAUAAAACCGAUCGUAGUCCGGAUCGCAGUCUGCAACUCGACUGCGUGAAGUCGGAAUCGCUAGUAAUCGUGAAAUCAGAAUGUCACGGUGAAUACGUUCCCGGGCCUU